CAAUACCACGAAGGGAAGGUUGGGAUUGAUUUUGGGGGUUAUGGUACCAACAGUUAAGGAAUUGGGGGCCAAAAAGGGGCCAAAAAUAAGCAUUUUUGUAACUUCCAGACAAUAACUUGUGUGUAAGUGUAUGGAUCUCUCUGACAUUGUACCACAAGGUUCCAUAUCACAAAGGGAAGGCUGUAAUUGAUUUUGGGGGUAAUUGCCUCAAAAUUUUAGGAAUUAGGGGCCAAAAAAGGGGCAAAAAACAAGCAUUUUUCUAGUUUCAUGACAAUAACUUGUGUGUAAGUGUUUGGAUAUUUCUGAAAUUGUACUACAAGGUUUCAUAUCACAAAGGGAAAGCUGGAAUUGAGUUUGGGGGUAAUUACCCGAAACGUUUAGGAAUUGGGGGCCAAAAAGGGGCCAAAAAUAAGCAUUUUUCUAGUUUCCAGACAAUAACUUGUGUUCAAGUGUAUGGAUCUCUCUGAAAUUUUACUGCAAGGUACCAUACCACAAAGGGAAGGCUGGGAUUGAGUUUGGGGGUGAUGAAUCAUAAGGGGGUUCAAAAAAUUUGGAGGGGGGGGAUUUUUUUUUCUUUUCUUUUUUUCCUUUUUUUUUUCUUUUAAAAUUUUCCAUUUUAAGUUGGUUAUUUCUGAUUUAUAUUUAAAAGCAAAUAAUAAUGAUAUGGUAGGAGAUACACACCAAACAGGAUGUGUAAAUUAUUAUAUAAUAAGUAUUGUGCAAUAGCAAGAAAUUUUCAAUUGCACAGUAUUGCACAAUAGCAAGAAAUCUUCAAUUGCACAGUAUUGCGCAAUAGCAAGAAAUCUUCAAUUGCACAGUAUUGCGCAAUAGCAAGAAAUAUCCAAUAGCACAAUAUUGCGCAAUAGCAAGAAAUUGUCAAUUGUACAGUAUUGCGCAAUAGCAAGAAAUAUUCAAUUGCACAGUAUUGUGCAAAAGAAGAUACUUUGUAUAAAUUGCUUAUUUCUUGAUCAAUUUCAAUGGGGUUUUAUUCUUGAAUUCUUGGGGUUCUUUAAUAUGCUGAAUCUAACUGUGUAUUAAGUUUUUGGAUUUUGGGCCCCGUUUUUAAAUUGGUCCACAUUGAGGUCCAAAGGGUCCAAAAUUUAACUUUGUUUGAUUUCAUCAAAAAUUGAAUUAUUGGGGUUCUUUGAUAUGCCGAAUCUAACCGUGUAUUUAGAUUCUUAAUUUUUGGUUCCGUUUUCAAAUUGGUCUACAUUAAGGUCAAAAGGGUCCAAAAUUAAACUUUGUUUGAUUUCAUCAAAAAUUGAAUUCUUGGGGUUCUUUGAUAUGCUGAAUCUAACCAUGUAUUUAGAUUUUGGAUAUUGGACCAUAAUAGGUGAAUGUCCAAUUUAAAACUUUUAAGUUCUUAGACCACAUUCAUUCUGUGUCAGAAACCUAUGUUGUGUCAAAUAUUUAAUCACAAUCCAAAUUUAGAGCUGUAUCAAGCUUGAAUGUUGUGUCCAUACUUGCCCCAACUGUUCAGGGUUCGACCUCUGCGGUCGUAUCAAGCUGCGCCCUGCGGAGCAUUUUAUUUAAUUUGAAACAAAGAUAAAUUCUCCACAUUUUUUUGAAAACUGCAAAUUUAAAAAAAAAAAAAAAAGAAAA